UACGUAGGGUGCAAGCGUUGUCCGGAAUUAUUGGGCGUAAAGAGCUCGUAGGCGGUUUGUCGCGUCUGCUGUGAAAUCUGGUGGCUCAACCAUCAGCGUGCAGUGGGUACGGGCAGACUAGAGUGCGGUAGGGGAGAUUGGAAUUCCUGGUGUAGCGGUGGAAUGCGCAGAUAUCAGGAGGAACACCGAUGGCGAAGGCAGAUCUCUGGGCCGCUACUGACGCUGAGGAGCGAAAGCAUGGGGAGCGAACAGG
rnacentral:rRNA from 1 species